GGUACCGUCAUUUUCUUCCCUACUGAAAGCGGUUUACAACCCUAGGGCCUUCUUCCCGCACGCGGCGUUGCUGCAUCAGGCUUUCGCCCAUUGUGCAAGAUUCCCC
rnacentral:rRNA from 1 species